rfam:Eubacterium sp. CAG:252 genomic scaffold, scf86
UGAAGUUUAACUGUGCUGAGUCUUAGACUUUUCCUUCAAUCCCCAGCUAUGCGGGUACAAGGAUGUACCCGCAAACGAAGCCACGCCACGGAUGGCGUGUCUGAGUGGUAGCGUACAUAACCACUACAUAUAUGAAAAGUCUUAGAGUCAGCCAGUUAAAUCUUC